AUGCAGUCGAGCGGACAGAAGGGAGCUUGCUCCCGGAUGUUAGCGGCGGACGGGUGAGUAACACGUGGGUAACCUGCCUGUAAGACUGGGAUAACUCCGGGAAACCGGAGCUAAUACCGGAUAGUUCCUUGAACCGCAUGGUUCAAGGAUGAAAGACGGUUUCGGCUGUCACUUACAGAUGGACCCGCGGCGCAUUAGCUAGUUGGUGAGGUAACGGCUCACCAAGGCAACGAUGCGUAGCCGACCUGAGAGGGUGAUCGGCCACACUGGGACUGAGACACGGCCCAGACUCCUACGGGAGGCAGCAGUAGGGAAUCUUCCGCAAUGGACGAAAGUCUGACGGAGCAACGCCGCGUGAGUGAUGAAGGUUUUCGGAUCGUAAAGCUCUGUUGUUAGGGAAGAACAAGUGCAAGAGUAACUGCUUGCACCUUGACGGUACCUAACCAGAAAGCCACGGCUAACUACGUGCCAGCAGCCGCGGUAAUACGUAGGUGGCAAGCGUUGUCCGGAAUUAUUGGGCGUAAAGGGCUCGCAGGCGGUUUCUUAAGUCUGAUGUGAAAGCCCCCGGCUCAACCGGGGAGGGUCAUUGGAAACUGGGAAACUUGAGUGCAGAAGAGGAGAGUGGAAUUCCACGUGUAGCGGUGAAAUGCGUAGAGAUGUGGAGGAACACCAGUGGCGAAGGCGACUCUCUGGUCUGUAACUGACGCUGAGGAGCGAAAGCGUGGGGAGCGAACAGGAUUAGAUACCCUGGUAGUCCACGCCGUAAACGAUGAGUGCUAAGUGUUA
rnacentral:rRNA from 1 species